AUGAACGCUAGCUACAGGCUUAACACAUGCAAGUCGAGGGGCAUCAGGAAGAAAGCUUGCUUUCUUUGCUGGCGACCGGCGCACGGGUGAGUAACACGUAUCCAACCUGCCCUUUACUCGGGGAUAGCCUUUCGAAAGAAAGAUUAAUACCCGAUGGGAUAAUNAUUCCGCAUGGUNUGAUUAUUAAAGGAUUCCGGUAAAGGAUGGGGAUGCGUUCCAUUAGGUUGUUGGUGAGGUAACGGCCCACCAAGCCUUCGAUGGAUAGGGGUUCUGAGAGGAAGGUCCCCCACAUUGGAACUGAGACACGGUCCAAACUCCUACGGGAGGCAGCAGUGAGGAAUAUUGGUCAAUGGGCGCUAGCCUGAACCAGCCAAGUAGCGUGAAGGAUGACUGCCCUAUGGGUUGUAAACUUCUUUUAUAUUAGAAUAAAGUGCAGUAUGUAUACUGUUUUGUAUGUAUAAUAUGAAUAAGGAUCGGCUAACUCCGUGCCAGCAGCCGCGGUAAUACGGAGGAUCCGAGCGUUAUCCGGAUUUAUUGGGUUUAAAGGGAGCGUAGGUGGACUGGUAAGUCAGUUGUGAAAGUUUGCGGCUCAACCGUAAAAUUGCAGUUGAUACUGUCAGUCUUGAGUACAGUAGAGGUGGGCGGAAUUCGUGGUGUAGCGGUGAAAUGCUUAGAUAUCACGAAGAACUCCGAUUGCGAAGGCAGCUCACUGGACUGCAACUGACACUGAUGCUCGAAAGUGUGGGUAUCAAACAGGAUUAGAUACCCUGGUAGUCCACACAGUAAACGAUGAAUACUCGCUGUUUGCGAUAUACAGUAAGCGGCCAAGCGAAAGCAUUAAGUAUUCCACCUGGGGAGUACGCCGGCAACGGUGAAACUCAAAGGAAUUGACGGGGGCCCGCACAAGCGGAGGAACAUGUGGUUUAAUUCGAUGAUACGCGAGGAACCUUACCCGGGCUUAAAUUGCAGUGGAAUGAUGUGGAAACAUGUCAGUGAGCAAUCACCGCUGUGAAGGUGCUGCAUGGUUGUCGUCAGCUCGUGCCGUGAGGUGUCGGCUUAAGUGCCAUAACGAGCGCAACCCUUAUCUUCAGUUACUAACAGGUCAUGCUGAGGACUCUGGAGAGACUGCCGUCGUAAGAUGUGAGGAAGGUGGGGAUGACGUCAAAUCAGCACGGCCCUUACGUCCGGGGCUACACACGUGUUACAAUGGGGGGUACAGAAGGCAGCUACCUGGUGACAGGAUGCUAAUCCCAAAAGCCUCUCUCAGUUCGGAUCGAAGUCUGCAACCCGACUUCGUGAAGCUGGAUUCGCUAGUAAUCGCGCAUCAGCCACGGCGCGGUGAAUACGUUCCCGGGCCUUGUACACACCGCCCGUCAAGCCAUGGGAGCCGGGGGUACCUGAAGUACGUAACCGCAAGGA
rnacentral:rRNA from 1 species